ACGGCAGCACGGGGUAGCUUGCUCCCUGGUGGCGAGUGGCGAACGGGUGAGUAAUAUAUCGGAACGUGUCCGAUAAUGGGGGAUAACUAGUCGAAAGAUUAGCUAAUACCGCAUACGCCCUGAGGGGGAAAGUGGGGGAUCUUCGGACCUCACGUUAAUGGAGCGGCCGAUAUCUGAUUAGCUAGUUGGUGGGGUAAAAGCCUACCAAGGCGACGAUCAGUAGCUGGUCUGAGAGGAUGAUCAGCCACACUGGGACUGAGACACGGCCCAUACUCCUACGGGAGGCAGCAGUGGGGAAUUUUGGACAAUGGGCGAAAGCCUGAUCCAGCCAUGCCGCGUGAGUGAAGAAGGCCUUCGGGUUGUAAAGCUCUUUCGCAAGGAAAGAAAACUUAUCUACUAAUACUAGAUGAGGAUGACGGUACCUUGAUAAGAAGCACCGGCUAACUACGUGCCAGCAGCCGCGGUAAUACGUAGGGUGCGAGCGUUAAUCGGAAUUACUGGGCGUAAAGCGAGCGCAUGCGGUUUAGCAAGUCAGAUGUGAAAGCCCUCGGGCUCAACCUGGGAACUGCGUUUGAAACUGCAAGGCUAGAGUAUAGGAGAGGGAGGUAGAAUUCCACGUGUAGCAGUGAAAUGCGUAGAGAUGUGGCACGAAUACCAAUGGCGAUCGCAGCCUCCUGGCCUAGAUACUGACGCUCAUGCUC
rnacentral:rRNA from 1 species